ensembl:lncRNA
ACCAUAUGAAACUAUCUUCCUAAAAUAAUGUCCGCAGGUCUAUAUGUGAGGAGAACUGAGAUGAUUUUGUUCAAAAUCAAUGAGUCAGCCAUCACAGAGUCAGCACUUUACUGCUCUUCCUGUGUUUCAACCACCAUCGGCCAGCAGGGGGCAGUGCUGUGGGGAUACAGUUCAUUGGGUGAAUGCUAAAGCAGGAUUUCAGGCUGAUUUAUUGCUAAUUCAAGGGUUUUCACUGCAUAAAAGUUCCUAUCUGGUAUUAAUUUGAUGCAAAUGCAGAAUAAAAUGGUGGUUAGAGAUUAGAUAAAUGAAAGUUGCCACAUAAAUAAUUGCAAAUUCAAGAGCCUUUGAUAAGGCCACAAACAAAGAAUCACAAACAAAAUAGCAUUGCAACAAACACUACCACAUAUGACCAGAAAUAUCUCAGGCCUUCGCAGAAGUUGGGGGUGUUAGGUGUGUCUGAGAGUGAUAGUGAGACAAACUUCCUCCUCAUACGUACAUUGGCCAACCUUCGCUUUAGAGGAAGAGAAGUGGCGCUGCGAGAGAAGAGAAAGCAGAGUUAUCAAAACCCACACAGUCUUCAUGUCCUGUGUCAGUGUUCGGUGAAAGGUGAUGGUUCUGACCGAAUCAUCUUCAGCUGGGGUGGAUGGAUUAACUGCUGGAUGACAACACGAACACGGUCUGUUGUGAGCUGCUGGUUCAUCAGUAGAGGACUAGAUGGAGGAGGCAGCAGAGACUGCACAGCUGAGGCAACCAAAGGUUCAGGAUGGUAGUACCCCAGUCCGGCACUCAGAAACCAAGCGUUACAGUGAGAUAUUACGCGAUUUUGACGCUAACUUGGAUCUUUCAUUAACAUGCUCGACUGUGGAUGAGCUACUACUAGAAGCAGACUCACUGUCUUUAACAGACACUUCAGCAGACACCACACUGAACGCUGAUCUGGAUGAUAUUACAGUGAGACAUGAUUGAUGAAUUAUUGUUCCCACUCUUUUUCUCAUAUGCUCGUUCUCCUAUCUCAUGAUACUUUUGGGUUCAACAUUCUCUCUGAAGCAAUGUGGUUUACGGUGGAUAUUAAAAGCUGUGUGUUUUUCAGGGUGAAGAUGUGGAGUCGUUGAAGAGCUGCCGUGAGGAGGAGGAAAAAGACGGAGCUGUAACCGGUAAUUCUUUUUAAGAUCAUUGUGUUUGCUUGCUGGACAUUUGGAGGAAGACUAACAGGGUGAAAAGAUUAAUGAGAUUUGCAAUGAACAAGUUUGUUUGUACUCUCAAAAAUAUUAGAAUGAAUAUCAUGCAUCCAGCUCGGUUUAUUGAGGUUGAUUGAUUCGAUAUGGUCUUCUGUCCAUCAUUUGGACAUAGACAGAGAUGACUGAUAUAUGAGAGAAGCAAAGCAAAGACAGUGACUGAUCAGGCCCGGAGGCAACAUGUCACUCCACCAAAUCUCUCUUCUUCAACCUGCACUGUUUACGUGUAAUUAGCCACAUGGACUAAUUGCCCCUCGCUAACAAGAUUAGCACCGGACGGGGGUUAGAGAGCAGAUUAAAGUAGCAGACAGCUGCUCUCUGUUUUUCCCGCUGAUCCAUCUCUCCGAAAACUGUUGAAAGAUAAGAUAGCAUGUUCGCUUUAGAACUGUAAUCUUUAUAUAAAAUUAGAGUAGUACAUAUGAACCAUAAAUUAUGAAGAAAAGAGUUGUAACCAAAGAUAAAAUGAGAUUAUUUUGAUUAGGUGAUAGCUGUGUUGUAUUGAAUAGCUAUAUAUUGACGUCAUCUUCCUUGGCUGCUACCUUGGCUAGACCUGCUUGUCCUGUGAGCAUAUAGCUGUUUGCUAGCUGAGAUUAGGGAUUACGUUAACACUCAAAGUUUAAAUAAAGCAUCCGCACAGUGACCUUCGAGAUGAUGA